rnacentral:lncRNA from 1 species
AGUGGGGUUUUGCCCCGCCCGCCAGGCAGCUCGGGCCGCGCGCACACGCGGAGCCGCCGGAGCCCGGGCCGACCCGGUGCCGGGAGCAGCAUGCGGAGCCCGCAGGUACCGGGGUGCACGGGGCGCACGGGGGACACAGGGGGCGGGGUGGGCGGCGCCGGCUUUGUGCUUCCAAGCUUCUCCGCCUUUGUGCUCCGAAGGGGGUCCGGGCUGCAGCCGUAAUCGGAUUCUGCAAGAAGGAGAGGGAUGUGGAGGACCUGGAGGGAUGGAGCUGGAGAAAUGGGGACCGCGAGGGUUGUGGACCCGGAGGGACAGAGACCCACAGAAACGGGAACCGGUAGAGACAGGGUCCAGGAGGGAUGAGGACGCGCGCGGGCGACUUGGCCCGUACCCAGGGUCACCGACUGCACCAGCCGGGCGGGGACGCGGUGUGCGGUGCGCGGUGUCAGCGUCUGGAGCUGCAGACCGGGCCAGGCGCCUCAGAUCACCUGGGGCUUCGGUUCCACCCUUCUGCGGUCCGGGCGCCCCCAACCCCCGACCUCCCCCAGCUUUGGGAUUGGGACUGCUCAUCCACCCUCAUCCUCGCGAUGCGGGGGCCUGUGGGGAACCCCGGGGAGCCAGCCUGCGGCCCUAAGGCCCCCGGUACACCCCAAGAGCCCCCCGACUGGCUGAGGGUGGUGACGUCACCGGGGGCGGGGACUGGGGCGCAGAAGGAAAUGGGGUCCGAGAGCAGGUACCCCCGUUGCAAUGCGAGCUGGGUCAGGGCCAAGUUCUCUGCUCAUCGUGGAGCCUCUUCACCCCCAAACCCCAGCACCACUAUGAGCGAGGAUCCUUUUGAUUGCCACACCCCCCAAAUCCCUGUGCGUUACCCCUUUUCCCUGCUCUCAAAUCUGCCUCCAUAUGCCCCCGAAAACCUGCAGCAGGUGUGAGCGCCCAUCUUCCCGGUCACCCCUCACCUCGUCUCUCCCUCCAGUAGAACCUCCUAACGGUCACUUCCCCGGGUGUCUCCUGGCCUGGCAGGGGUUCCCUUACGCUCACUUUCCAACCUGAGCAAGGAUGUCCCUCCCCCAAUAAACCGUCCUUGGUGCUCA